AUCUAGCUGACGAGUCCCAAAUAGGACGAAACGAGUGUCUUGGAU
rnacentral:hammerhead_ribozyme from 1 species